UGCCCACACAGACAGACAUCAACAAGCGAACAACUCAACAGCAUGAACUAAAACGCUUAUCCUCAUAACUUGCAGCAAAAGGAAUAACCACUUCUCAUAACUUGACGCCAACAAAUAGAAGAGAAACACGUCUCAUAAACUCCACACGUAGAAUCGCGUUUUCAUCCUUGCAUCCAUCUUCACCUCCGCCUUCUUCAAAUUGCAGCGCACCAAGUCAAGAAACACGAAUCCACUUCAUCGAUUCGCAACUCGGAAUCAUAAUCAAACCUCAAUUCGAUAUCGUGCGGGUGUGCAAACUGAAGAAAAAUAAAAAGCGUCAAAGUCAAAUCGAAGACUCACCACAUUAAACAGUUGCAGGGUAAUUGGAGUGCAUUUGGAACUGUUUUGCAGGCCAUGGACUGUUAUGGAGAAAAACAGGCAGUUAUGUAACUUCACAGGAUUAGAGUUAACAUAAGCCUCCACAUGGGCUCCAGAGCAGAAUGACUUUUUUUGUGACGUACAGAUUACCUGUGGCAACAACAGAGGACACUUGAAAUGAGGAGAAGCAUUAGUGAGUGUGUAUGAGGAAGAAGUAGAAGGUGAUGACGUGGCAUGAGUUGGAUUUGGAAAGUUCAUAGCUUAAUAAUUGAUAAAUCAGCAACAGCAGCAAUGUAUAGGUUAGGCUUUGUUUGUGGUUAUGUUGUCCUAAUGGUAAUGUGGUUUGGAAUGGACAUGUAUUGGCUUGUGAACAUGGUUUCAAAUGUUUGGUUUUUGAAUGUAUAGGUUGGUUUGAAAUUGUAUGUAUAAAUUGGUUUGAAAUUGCAAUGAAUUUGGUUUAAUGAUUGUAAAUUGAAACAAUGGUUGAAUAUUCUAAUGUGAAAGAGUGGUUGAAUUGUA